GAUGAACGCUGGCGGUAUGCCUAAUACAUGCAAGUCGUGCGGAAAGGCCCUUCGGGGUACUCGAGCGGCGGACGGCAGAGUAACGCGUAGGAACAUACCCCAAAGUGCGGGAUAACUGCUCGAAAGAGUAGCUAAUACCGCAUGUGAUCUUCGGAUUAAAGCCUUGUGCGCUUUGGGAAUGGCCUGCGUUCGAUUAGCUAGUUGGUGAGGUAAUUGCUCACCAAGGCGACGAUCGAUAGCUGGUCUGAGAGGAUGAUCAGCCUGACUGGAACUGAGACACGGUCCAGACUCCUACGGGGGGCAGCAGUGGGGAAUAUUGGACAAUGGGCGAAAGCCUGAUCCAGCAAUGCCGCGUGAGUGAUGAAGGCCUUAGGGUUGUAAAGCUCUUUUACCAGGGAUGAUAAUGACAGUACCUGGAGAAUAAGCUCCGGCUAACUCCGUGCCAGCCGCCGCAGUAAUAC
rnacentral:rRNA from 1 species